CCUACCCCCCCCCCCCAUUACGAAUUCCUGUGCCUAUUAAAACAAAUCAUUUUGAGCUGAUAGGAACUCCAGGUCCAGUUCAUUAUUAAGGAAGCCAUUCUACAGCACAGCCCAAAGACACACCCUGCUGCACCACAGCUGUACCAUUGAGUUCGAAAGCCAAGGAAGCAGAACUACUGGUAUUGCUGUUCCUUUGUCAGUCACGUAUUUAGACAAGACUUGGAAUGUAAAAAUCCGAUGUGAAAUCUGAAGUGGGCCUGCGGGCCGGGGUGAGGGAGGAUGGAGUAUGGGUGAGCGGGGAGCCACAGGGAGAGCCAGGGAGCAUAAUCACCACCUCACCACUGUGACUCAUCAUGACAGCCAAGAGGCCAGUGAGCAUUUAUCCUCUUUAGCACUUGUCAGGCCCCAUCUCCCCCCGGCCCUGAGACGGACGACGCCAUGACAGGAGCUAGGGCCUUUCCGGCACUGCACUAGACGCAAGCGAGAGGUCGGAGCGGGACUUACCAGGCUAACACCACACUUCACUGACCACAGUCCGCACUGACACUCGCUUAAUGACUGCGGGUGACCUGUGACCUGUGCUGACAUCUUUCGCCUAAUUUAAAUUUGCCCACUGAGUGGCUGGCAGUGUGUUGACAGAGGGAGAGCUCCAUGCCUGAUUGCUUUUUCACAUGAAGAAUAAAAAGGCUAUUGUCGUCGUAAUGUCCGCGGAGGUAUUGCAGGGUUAAGGCCCAUUUUCUGCAUGACUGGUGCUAAACGUGUAACAACUACAUCUGACUGAAUGAGUUAGGUCAUUAAACAUUAGCUUGCAUUUCUGAGCUACAGGCAGCUGUAAUGGGGUGGUGAAUAGAUUGAGCACCCUGUGAUAUAUACUGUAAGGUGUCGGGAUAUAAAUAUGGAUGUAUUUUUGAGACUCCAUGGCGGAGAAGAGGGCUCACGUCUAACAUAUUCUCCUCCACGCCUCACUGCUAUUUGACUAACCUCGAGCAUUGAAUGCUGGGUAACGGCGCUGCAUACAUCCAAUGUUAAACAAACAGACACUUCAUCCAGAGAGAGCGACAUCACACUGACCUCGCAUCAGAAGCACUGUGGAAAUUCAACACAAAUAGACUCACUUUGGUGCCUCUUCAUUAACUCGCACAGUCAGAGGACCUUGAUUUUCCCCCUGAACCCUCCACUACUCAACAUUACUCCCUGGAACACACACAGCCUGAGAGACAAAUCACACUGAAAGAAUACAGAAUACAAUUCACUUCCUGGUAUUAGUAGAGGUCCCUUCCUGUUCUUUGUUGUUGCUUUCAGAAGUGUGUUUGGCGGUGUGGUCGAAAUGUGUAAUACUGACUGGCCUUGAGAUUUCAGGUGUCUAGUGAAAAUUCUGACGAAAGGUUCAAUUAGGAGAUGGGAUGUGCACACACACACCAUUCACAUUCCCCUCCAUUGUUUGCAGUUCUAUUUUAUUAUAGCCUACUAUUUUCCUGUAUAUCCACUAUUGUCAGUAGAGUACAUCUCUGCCUUUCACUCCUGAUGUUGCUAUAUUAAAUAUUUAUGGAAUGCUAAUAUAGCUAUUCUCCUCUCUUGUCCUCCAACUAUCCUUCUUGUUCUCUGAAUGUGUACACUGUGCAGUCAGUGUUCAGCGGUGUUCAGUAAGGUGCGUGCUAGCCACAGAGGGGAGCGUUGCCUACCAAACACAUACCAUGGCAGGUCACAGAUCAGAGCUGAUUAAAAAGAUGCCACUACAUCCGACGUCUUGAUACAUAAAACAUUCAGCACUAAGACGAACAGUACAUUAUGCCGGAUGUUAUUCAGAAUGGUCACAUAAAUCUUUUAUAUGGAAUAUUUAUAUCUCCAGAAAACCACUUAAGGAUUUUCUCUCUCUCUCUCUCUCUCCUUCUCAUUCACUCUCAGACACUGUAAACAAUUUAGAUCAGCUUUAAUAUUGCAGCUUCCAUCAAUGUAAUUGUUUGCAUCAUUUCCAAUCCCUCAUAUAUUUUUCUGUAAAUAUAUGUAUUUAUAUACAGUACCAGUCGAAAGUUUGGACACCUACUCAUGCCAGGGUUUUUCUUUAUUUGUAUGAUUUUCUACAUUGUAGAAUAAUAGUG
rnacentral:lncRNA from 1 species